rnacentral:rRNA from 1 species
CAAUAGUGUAUAUUAAAGUUGUUGCAGUUAAAAAGCUCGUAGUUGGAUUUCAAGAAACGCAUCUGGGUCACCAGUAUGCUUUCUACCAGUCUCUGACUGUUACUGUGAGAAAAUUAGAGUGUUUCAAGCAGGCAAUUGCAGGAAUACAUUAGCAUGGAAUAACGAAUGGGUCUACAAUUUGGUUGAUUGUAGAUUGCGAUUAAUAGGGACAGUUGGGGCGAUUCGUAUUUCUAUUGUCAGAGGUGAAAUUACUUGGAUUUAUUGAAAGAACGAACUUCUGCGAAAGACAUUUGCCAAGGAAUGUUUUCUAUUAAAUCAAGAACGAAAGUUGGAGGCUCGAAGACGAUCAGAUACCGU